UAGGGAAUCUUCGGCAAUGGACGAAAGUCUGACUGAGCAACGCCGCGUGAGCGAAGAAGGUUUUCGGGUCGUAAAACUCUGUUGGUAGAGAAGAACGUUGGUGAGAGUGGAAAGCUCAUCAAGUGACGGUAACUACCCAGAAAGGGACGGCUAACUACGUGCCAG
rnacentral:rRNA from 1 species